CUUCUUAUGAAGCUACUGUCAGGAUUCAUCGUCGAGAUCGAUAUUCCCAUUUUGUCUACGGUUACCGCCAGAAUAACCUUUCAUGAAUUUGCAUUUGGAAAUGACAAAUUUGAAACUCUUACAAGUGCUCUUGGGUUACUUUAAAGAUUCAAUCAGCCUCCGAUGAGAAGAGUUUCCACAAAUCCUUCCCUUGAUACUCAGAUAUCAGGAAGUAUGUCUGGAAGCUCAGGCAGGAGAAAGUCCAUUCUUAGGUCAAAAUCUUGUAUACAAGGAAAGUAGUGAAUCUAUCAAAGCGACAGUAGCGAUGUAUAUGGAUUUUUCAUUGACCGUGGACAUGCUUCUAAAUGUUUUGGAAGUGACCGCACUGUUCAAACACUUCAGUAAACUUAGACAUCUUAUGAAGCUACUGCCAGGAUUCACCGUCGAGAUCGAUAUUCCUAUUUUGUCUACCACCAGAAUAACCUUUCAAGAAUUUGCAUUUGGAAAUGACAAAUUCGAAACUCUUGGAUUACCUUAAAGAUUCAAUCAUUUUUGGAGACUGGGAGUUGCCAGGUGAGGGAGAGCAAGAAACACCGAUUCAAAAAUCUGAGACUUUUUGCAGUUUGAGCUGAAAGAUCGUUUCGAAGAAAUUAAUAGACUCAAAGAAAAAGCGAACGAUGAGGCAGAACAAAAAAGUAUGGCAGAAAUUCUGUCCCAGGUCGAGAUAAUGGGGAAAAAAUUGAAUUUCCUGAAAUUGCAAGAAACCUUAGCAGCAAUCUGGUCGCGACUUUCGCUGAUCCUCAAGGUGCCAGCUUAAAACAAUUGACGUUGCAGAUUCAGCUAUUCAAACAAACGGGUUCGACUAAAGUUGGAGAGGAAAAAACGGCAUUUACUGAAGUGGAUAAAAUUCGCAAACGAAGUCUGGAGUAUUAAAA